GAGCAGACUACGAGUCCCAGAGGCCUCUGGGAGGGAGCGGGGUCAACGAGGGCCAGAAGCACCUCAGGCCUGUGAGCAGGCGGAGGUUUCCGCACCCUCGCGUCGCUUGCUCUCUGCCAGCUGCACCCCUCGCCGCCAGCCCAGGCCGCCCGUCUCCUGCAGGUAUGGGGAGCUGCUCUCGGAUGAAGCAGCGAGGCGCAGCCCGGGACGCUCGAGGGCAAGACCUCCGCUGCGGCGGGCGGGCGAGGGGCGCGGCCUGUGUGACUCUCCCCCACCAAGCUGCGCGCUCCUGCCGAUCCAGCUGGCCAGAGGAGCGAGUGGGAGCAGGGGGCGGUAGCCAGGUCUCCUGUGUCACGCCGUGGCUGUCUCGUGUUUGCUGUCAGGGUCGGAGGACCCGCGUUGGCACCCAUAGAGCAGAAGGCUGAGAGUCAUGGCCUCUCAAAAAUCACAUUUUUCCCCUCUGUGAACCAGCCAUACUUUCCUGUUUCUUUCUGUUUUGUGAUUCCACCCCCGCCUGGGCAUUGGGAGGGCUUUGCCCUGACAACUCUGGAAAUAAAAUUCUUACCUUCCCCAGAAA
rnacentral:lncRNA from 1 species